CCUACGGGAGGCUGCAGUAGGGAAUAUUGCUCAAUGGGGGAAACCCUGAAGCAGCAACGCCGCGUGGAGGAUGAAGGUUUUCGGAUUGUAAACUCCUUUUGUUAGAGAAGAUAAUGACGGUAUCUAACGAAUAAGCACCGGCUAACUCCGUGCCAGCAGCCGCGGUAAUACGGAGGGUGCAAGCGUUACACGGAAUCCCUGGGCGUAAAGAGCGCGUAGGCGGGUUAGUAAGUCAGAUGUGAAAUCCUAGGGCUUAACCAUAGAACUGCGUUUGAAACUGUUAUUCUAGAGUAUGGGAGAGGUAGGUGGAAUUCUGGGUGUAGGUGUAAAAUCCGUAGAGAUCAAGAGGAAUACUGAUUGCGAAGGCGACCUGCUAGAACAUAACUGACGCUGAUGCGCGAAAGCGUGGGGAGCAAACAGGAUUAGAUACCCCGGUAGUC
rnacentral:rRNA from 1 species